CUGAUUUGUUCAUCAUCGUCUCGACUUUGAUUCACCUUAGUGGAUGAUUUGUGGAGAAAAGUCACGUUCUCCUAAGCAUUGACUUCAAUCCCUUCUUGCUCGGAUGGACUACGGAUAGGAUUAUCCAGCCUUGAUUUGGUUGUCAUACUUGGUUUUUCUUGUCUUGACCUACUUACAGUAAGGUAUGGAGGAGAAGCUGAUUAUUGAAGAGGAAGAGCCCUGUGUCAUGCACUUGACACAUUUGCAAUAAAUAAUAAAUUUAAACAUUUCAAA